CUAGAUGUCAUGUUCAAUAAAUUCUUGCUGAAAAUCUCACAUAGGACUUCUGUGCAAAAAACUCUAAAAUUUCCCAUGUGAAGGCACUUAUGUUAUACCAGUUUAAUUACCAUACAAAAACAUGGUUGUAGACUCAUGGAGUAUUAAAAGGUAGCCUACAACAAAUUUGGAAAAAUAACAGACAAAAAUCAGAAAGGAGAAUAUAAAUUAUGGAUACGAAGUUAAAAUAGCAGCAAAUUUUGUACAUAAUUAAACAUGAGUGAAGUUCUAAAAGAAUAUAAAUACCAGCUUUUGAUAAAAUUACCAAAUUAUACACUUUUGCAAAAAUAUCUAAAAAUAUAUAAGCUAAAAAUAUAUAAGCUAAAGUCAUGUUUCUAGUAUGUAGAAAUAGCAAGAGAGAGCAUAACGAAAAUCAAAUUCUCAUUCAUACUGAAAAGAUAGGGGCAAAGGAAGCUCACCUUAUUAGUUUAUGACCAAAAAGAAAGGGGCAAAGACAAUUGAUGUAUUAAAGGCAAA
rnacentral:lncRNA from 1 species